GCUUGGGGAGGCUGGCAUUGUCAAGGCAGUAUACAUCCACUUUUUUUUUUAUUAUGUACUAUGAACUAUAUAUAUUGGACCGCUGCAUGGUAUGGAUACGCCAUAUUUGACCUUGUGAACUUGAUUUCAUGAGUCUUUGAUGAUUAUGACAACCCUGGCGGACUACCCUUCUCAAUCCCUGUAAUAACAACGAGAUAAACAGUUGAUUGAUGCGGCUUAUCCAAUCCAUAACUAUAUGCGCAUCAACUACUGGCAGGGGAACCCAGAAAGAAACCAAACCAGAUAUCCCUGGCAUGAGGAUUACGCAAUAUGCAGUAGAGCAGAAGUGCAGCACCAUGGAGAAAAAAGGUUCACGGUGUAAAUGCUAUCUACUAGCGACUAUCUGAUCCAAGCCUUCUUUUUUCCUUUCUUUUCGGGUUGCUGUGUAUAUGUGUACGCUGUAUGUGUUAGUUAUUAUCGAGCAAUGGAUCCCUCCCUGCUUGAUGGUAUAAAUAUGCAAUAAUGCGAUUUAGACUAGUUCACAUAAUUCCCGACAUGAACUAGAUUUGACAACUGACCGCCCACUGCAGGAAAAAGAAAAAGAGGAUCUAGAAUUAUUGAAUCUGGCCCUCAUGACGUUUUCUCUUUUUUCUUCUUUCUUUCUUCACUUUUUUGUUCUGACUAGGAUGAUGGUUGCCGAGGUACAUGUACAUGUAUGUACAUGGCACAGCGCACACCAUGGUACAGUACAUUAUGGAGG
rnacentral:sRNA from 1 species